rnacentral:rRNA from 1 species
UACGUAGGGGGCAAGCGUUUGUCCGGAAUUAUUGGGCGUAAAGAGCUCGUAGGCGGCUUGUCACGUCGGGUGUGAAAGCCCGGGGCUUAACCCCGGGUCUGCAUUCGAUACGGGCUAGCUAGAGUGUGGUAGGGGAGAUCGGAAUUCCUGGUGUAGCGGUGAAAUGCGCAGAUAUCAGGAGGAACACCGGUGGCGAGGGCGGAUCUCUGGGCCAUUACUGACGCUGAGGAGCGAAAGCGUGGGGAGCGAACAGG